CUUGAUUGAUUUGAUUGCCUGAUUGGUUUCCCAAAUUUGUCGUGAUUGAAUUGAUUGAGCUAUUGAUUGAGUCGUAUACAACCCUGAAUCGUAGGCACCGACUCUCGGGCACAAUCUGUGCACUGUGCAGCUAUGUUUUUUCGAGCAUAGUUCGCGACCAAAAGCACUUCGCAAGGAUGGUAGUGAAGCACAUUGCAGCCACGUAAAAUAUGCAUUGUUUACUCCUUGUGUUUCGUGAAGUGGAUCCCGCUACGAGGUUCCAUGGGAAUCCGAUCCCUUUAAAUGAACUCACGGCGCUUUAAAGAAAAAAACAUAACAAGUCGGGACUCGAGAACUCGAGAGGCAAGCAGUGUCCAAACUCAAUUAUCGUUUAAAGAGAACGGAUCCCGAUAAAUCCUCGUAACAGGAUCCGAUUAUGCGAUAGAUACGCUAAUCGCAGUCUCAUAUAGUUUAGUUUAACGAUUAUAAGUUUUGACCAAGCCCUUUGAAAUUAAUUAAUUCGUGAGUCUACUCACUCACCAUCGUAGCGGUCCUUGUAGAGCGUAUCUUGACGACUGCCAUGAUGAUUGGCCUCUCUCUAGCCUGUUCUCCCAAGCACUCUUCACCGGCCUGCCCAGUUCACUGAUUUUGAGUCCUUAUAUACUGAAGGUCCGGUCCGUCAGAGUCAGUGACCUCUGCCCACCAACCGGCACCUGGCAGCUCAACUCUCGGCCCCAGGGUCGGCAGCCUAGUCUGGUCCAUGGAGACCAUGCACCGUCGGGCGUCCAGCCCGCGGCUAGCAUCGGCAAAACUUUGAAUCUAGCCUUUGCUUGUUGGCACAGGGCAAUGAAGAGUGCAUUUUGUACUAUGCAUGUACAUAUGUGACGCAUAACAACAUAUUCAGCUGUCGCAACUAAAUUCAUAUCGCAUUCAUUGUACAGUCAUAUUUCGCAAACGUUACUACAAGUAAUGGUCGCUCAUUUUAUGUUGUAGCUGUUCAAGAGAUGGCAGUUUUAUCCGGUGUAACGUAAGUACACACCUCAAGAAGAUUGCCGAUGCAUGCUCUUGAUGAAACGAACUUGAAUUGAAUUGAAAGAGUAUCAGUCCUACAUAAGACAAAGUCCGCAGUGCAGGGUGCUGUGUGAUAUGUAUGUACUUACAUUAUGCCUACUGUUAAUCUCCGUUAACCUGUGUGCAAUGUAUGUAAUUAUACCAUGUCUGACCGUACAGCUCUCGGCGCUGGCCCCGCGUGCGUUGUCAGGCAGCCCGACCGCCGUGCGGACAUCCGGGUCGGCUCAUACCGUCCAUCAGUCACCGAACUGGCCGGCUUUCAGCGCGCUGUCGUGACGGAGGCUCACCGGGCUGCCAUCGACCGGGUGCGGCGUCCCAUUAGCAGAUGAGAGGGUGUGGUCGCGGCCCGCCGCGCUGCGAGGGUGCCGAGUCACACCUGGCGGCUCGCUACCCCCGCGCGGACCGGUGUGUGGUUCACCAGUCGAGGUAACCGGUGGGGGCGAUAGGUCAGUGGGGAAAAGAAGACGGCUGAGGACGCAGAAGAGCGGUGAACGAGAGAGGUGGAGAAGCGUUAAGAAGGUCUGAAAGUCAGCACUCACUGCUACCAUGCUACUGCUAAGAAGACGGCAAGAAGGAUUUUGGUGACGGUGCAGUCAUAGCGGUAACGGUGCGUGGCCGAAGUUAAAAGGAGGGCAGUUUCAGGAAAGCAGUGUGAGGAAACGGCGUCAGGACAGCGGUGUCGGCACGGCAGUGUCAGGGUGUCAGUAACAGCACAACAGGCAAGUUGAGCUCCGAAGAGCACAUACGUCAUCCCGAGCUGUGCUUCCACGGGACGGACAGCCGACAUGGAUACAGCUAUAAUGCAGUGCGACCCUCUGCUUGGUCAGAACUGCACCGACAUCAUGGCGUCUGAGCUGGACGACGAUGUCGACUGGCUCGAGCAGAGGAUCGUGGGCGGGUUCCGCCGGUGGCACGUCAUCUUUCUCACGGCCGCCGGCAUUCAGGCCAUCGUCACCUUCUUUUGCUGCUGCUUCCGUAUUCGCAUCCCGAGAACAAAAAUGGAAAUAGAGGCAGACUACAGAAGAAAGAUGCUCGCCAAGAAGUUCCGGCAAAAGCUGAAGAUCAUUCAAAAUAUUGAGAUGGAUGAAAUGGACCUAAAGAAAGUGAUGGAGUGGUGGGCACUGAGCACACACAGCCGAGCCGCAGCCGACAGCCAAUAGCCGAGAGUGGGGCCGGCGGCGACCCUUAUAGCAUCAGAGGAUGGAUGGGAUUCACCCAGCCCAAGGCCCUAAACCAACCAUCAUCAAUAGCGCUGGACCGGAUCCGUGCCGAGUUCCGCUCGGACACGGAGAGCCUAGCCCAGUCCGAGGCCGCCCUCAGCCUGCCCGAUGACGGCGCGUUCGCCGAUGGCGUGUCAAUGACGCCCACCUACCAGCGCGGCAGCCAGAUUACCUUAGGCUUUAGUCUGGAGGAUCUGCAGCAGGAGGUUCAGAUGACACCGCUCCGAAGAAUGUCCAGCUCGGUCACUGGCUUUGUGAGGGGAAUACCCGGCUGGUUUCGUCGCAACUACCAGCACGACGACUCGUAAAUAAGGAUAUUCAAAUGGGAAAUUCCGGACCUGCAGCUAGUGGAAUGCUAUUCCAGGGCCUGGGCCUCAACCGCCGACAGCGACCGAUCGGCUCACGGCGCUCUGUUCGGAAUAGUGUCAUCGACCCGAAUCGUUUUUUUAUUUUUUAUUUAACAGACAGUUGAAACAAGACAAACAGUCGCUCUGUUCUGUAAUGUAAAUAAAGUUCAGUCUUCUGCCUUACAGACGUUGUGGUGCUGACUGCUGCUAUUUGCUAAACAAAGUCUUUUGGCGUUGAAAAUAGGCUCUGCUGUUUGCUGUAUAAAUAGUAAUAUAGAUUUCAUCUCUCUAGGUAGUCACUUAAGAUGGAAAUAGAUAUACCUAAGCUGUCGCUAGUCACCCAUUUAUACCUAAAUGUGGGUACUUUUAACCUGCACUGUGAGAAUACGUAAUAAGCGACUGUGUAUUUCUGUUAUGAAUAGGUCGUAAGAAAGUCAAUAGAUAGGUCUAUGGUCAUGGCAAUAAAAUGGGUGGCAGAUUAA
rnacentral:misc_RNA from 1 species